GGGGCCGACAGGUUUUGACAGCGAGGAGGAUGAGUUUGUAAGCAUGCCGUGAGUUGGGAAAGUAUCACGUUAAUCACAAUUCUCAAAUUCCAAAUGGCGACUAUAACUUCGCUAUGGCUGCUUAAUUGACUAAGUCAAUAUAAGUGCCUGCUUCCCGGAUAGCUUUUUCUUUUCAGCGCUCCGGAUCAAGCAUCGCAAAUGAAAAGAUAGUUGUGAAAAGCUUUGGUUCACAGCGAAACUAAAGAAGCUAAGUUUGAAGUUGGCCGCUGCCUUGCCUGCUUCAUUUCUAAAAUCAAGAGGCAGCUAAGCGUGUAGAAAGCAUAUUUGUCCCUUGUUUGGACGGGAGUUCAAAUCUCCCCGGCUCCACCA
rnacentral:tmRNA from 1 species